rnacentral:misc_RNA from 1 species
AAUUGUUGUACGUUACCUCUUUUUCAGUGAACACAGGUUUGGGAAUGCUAUUGAAAAUGUUUUAGCUUUAUAAACAAAUCAAAAUUGCCACAGUUUCAAUUGAGACUGAAGCAACUUUAAAACGCCACAUGAGGGAUGUCGCACUCGUGAUGCUAUGUCACUGAAUUGUGUUAAAUUAAGUGUUUUAAUGUCAUCUCUUGGAUUUACUUCUGG